rnacentral:rRNA from 1 species
GACGAACGCUGGCGGCGUGCUUAACACAUGCAAGUCGAACGGAGUGGCGAACGGGUGAGUAACACGUGGGUGAUCUGCCUUACACUUCGGGAUAAGCUUGGGAAACUGGGUCUAAUACCGGAUAGUGCAAGAUGAGCUCGCGGCCUAUCAGCUUGUUGGUGGGGUAAUGGCCUACCAAGGCGUCGAAGGGUAGCCGGCCUGAGAGGGUGUACGGCCACAUUGCGACUGAGAUACGGGCCAGACGCCUACGGGAGGCAGCAGUGUAGAAUAUUGCGCAAUGUGCCGAAGCCGUAUGCAGCGACGCUGCGUGGGGGAUGAAGGCCUUCGGGUUGUAAACUCCUUUCGACUGGGACGCGGUACCUGUAUAGGAAGCACCGGCUAACUACGUGCCAGCAGCCGCGGUAAUUC